AACGCGAAGAACCUUACCAGUCCUUGACAUGUCCACUAUGGGUUACGGAGACGUAAUCCUUCACUUCGGGUGGGUGGAACACAGGUGCUGCAUGGCUGUCGUCAGCUCGUGUCGUGAGAUGUUGGGUUAAGUCCCGCAACGAGCGCAACCCUCAUCUUCAGUUGCCCCCGGGUCAGGCCGGGCACUCUGAAGAAACCGCCGGUGACAAGCCGGAGGAAGGCGGGGAUGACGUCAAGUCCUCAUGGCCCUUACGGACUGGGCUACACACGUACUACAAUGGUGGUGACAGUGGGCUGCGAAGGCGCGAGCCGGAGCCAAUCCCCAAAAGCCAUCUCAGUUCAGAUUGCACUCUGCAACUCGGGUGCAUGAAGUUGGAAUCGCUAGUAAUCGCAGAUCAGCACGCUGCGGUGAAUACGUUCCCGGGCCUUGUACACACCGAUACUC
rnacentral:rRNA from 1 species